rnacentral:rRNA from 1 species
UACGUAGGCAGCGAGCGUUGUUCGGAAUUACUGGGCGUAAAGAGUGUGUAGGCGGUGCUCUAAGUUCGGUGUGAAAUCUCCUGGCUCAACUGGGAGGGUGCGCCGGAAACUGGAGUGCUUGAGCGUGGGGAGAGGAAAGCGGAAUUCCUGGUGUAGCGGUGAAAUGCGUAGAUAUCAGGAGGAACACCUGUGGUGUAGACGCUUUCUGGACCAUAGCUGACGCUG